CAUCACCGUUAGACUCUGUGGCUGACCUGAAGCCUCUGUGUAAGCGGAUGUCAACAGAGGAGAAUUUUCACAAACAAUUGAGGUCUGCAGCAGAUGCCACAAAGAGGGGGGCAACAAAUACAGAUCAAAGACCACAGCACCUGAAAGAGACAGAAGCCCAAGACACAGAAGGAGCACAACCCCGGAGUCGACCCUGAU